rnacentral:rRNA from 1 species
AUACGGAGGAUCCAAGCGUUAUCCGGAUUUAUUGGGUUUAAAGGGUGCGUAGGUGGAUUGAUAAGUCAGCGGUGAAAGUUUGCAGCUUAACUGUAAAAUUGCCGUUGAAACUGUCAGUCUUGAGUGCAAAUGAGGUAGGCGGAAUGUGUUGUGUAGCGGUGAAAUGCUUAGAUAUAACACAGAACUCCGAUUGCGAAGGCAGCUUACUGGGAUGCAACUGACACUGAGGCACGAAAGCGUGGGGAUCAAACAGGAUUAGAUACCCUGGUAGUCCACGCAGUAAACGAUGAAUACUAGCUGUAUGCGAUAUACUGUAUGCGGCACAGCGAAAGCGUUAAGUAUUCCACCUGGGGAGUACGUUCGCAAGAAUGAA